rnacentral:lncRNA from 1 species
GAAAAGAAUGCCUUGUUUUAUUACAGCUCUUAAAAUACUUUCACGCGCAAGUUGACCAUAUUUGGGGACAACAGUUCCAGGCACAGCAGACGCUCACUGGGAUGCCAGGGUGUCUGCUGUCAGCCCCUUGCCAGCUCUCUCCCCCUGAGCAGCCACUAGGCAAUUGCAACCUCAUUCUUUCCAGAAAUGGCUUGGGGACCACUUAGCAAAUGUGAACACAUCUGUAAAGUAUGUUCAUCCACCUCUCUCUCUCUCUCUCUCUCUCUAACCAUGUGAGAGUGAGAAGAAAGAGUGUUCUUUUCCAGCUAUUAGAGUUGAAGUUUCAGAGAAGGUGUGGACACUCAGUGGCUAGCUAUAGUGAAUGCACAGCUUUUGAGGCUGGAGCAUCAAUUGGGAUAGACAAGUCCAUGCCUCUUUCUGUCAACUCAAAGACUAAAGCAAAUGGCCUUUCAGAAAUAAAGGAGCCCCAUCAGAUGUGGGACUGUGCUGCACCACCUCCAGGCCCUCAGCCUCUGGGAGUCUCUGUUUCUCUUCUGGAAAAUUGGCUGACACUUCUGGUUCCCCUUCUGCUGGCCUUGAGUGACAGAACGAGCCCACAUGUGUGAAAGUGCUUGAGAGCCGACCGGGGAGAUCAUUACUUUGAAGGCCACUGCCAUGUGCAGCCUUCCUCAACGUCCCAACGUGUAGGGCCUGGUCCUUGUCCCUCGCACGAGGUCCUCAGCCACCUCACCUCUGGGACCACGAUCCUAGGGGCCUGUGUGUGCACCCACAUGCAUUUCAGGAAAGGAGGAAAGUAUCUUCACAAUAAGGCAAAAGCUGAUCAAAUUCAUUUAAUCUUUGUUAAAAGCAUCACAAAUGAUUCAUCGAUUUUUAAAAAGGAAAAAUAAGAAGGAAUGCAUUGUCUCUUUGUUAUGUGCAUGGCAGCUGAUGGCCUCGUUCCCAGGCGCCCAGGUCUACCU